rnacentral:rRNA from 1 species
UACGUAGGGGGCUAGCGUUGUCCGGAAUCAUUGGGCGUAAAGCGCGUGUAGGCGGUCCGGUAAGUCCGCUGUGAAAGUCGGGGGCUCAACCCUCGGAUGCCGGUGGAUACUGUCGGGCUUGAGUACGGAAGAGGCAAGUGGAAUUCCUGGUGUAGCGGUGAAAUGCGCAGAUAUCAGGAGGAACACCAAUUGCGAAGGCAGCUCGCUGGGACGUUACUGACGCUGAGACGCGAAAGCGUGGGGAGCAAACAGG